rnacentral:lncRNA from 1 species
GAAAAUAAGAACCAAGAUGCAUUAUAUAAAGGUACAAUUCCCAAUGAGAAAUGUAAUUGUGUUGUAUACCUACAAUGUACCAAUAAAAGAAUUUAAUACAAAAAUAAAUUAUCAGGCAUGCAAAGAAGAAAAUAUGACUCAUAAUGAGGAGAACAAACAAUAGAAAUAGACUUAAAAUUACACAGAUGAUAGAAUUAGUAAACAAAAAGAAAGCCACUAUUAUAAUAGUUAUCAUGUGGCUUAUUCAAGAAGGAAGAGGGAAGAUUGAGCAUGUAUAACAGAGAUACAAAAACAUUUUUAAAUGAUCCAAAUUGAAUUUCUAGAGAUAAAUGCAAUGCCUGGUAGGGCAAGGAAGAGGUACACCAGAUGAAAUAAGUCCAGAUUGUAUAUGGCAGAGGAAAAGAUUAGUACAUUGAAGAUAUAACAUUUUAAACUAUCCAAAACGAAAUGAGGGUUGGGCCAGGAAUUUAGCUCAGUGGUUCUGCUGCCUGCCUUGCAAGUGCAAGGUCCCGAGUUCGAUCUCCAGUAUCAAAACAAAACAAAACAAAAUGAAAUGAGGUUUAAAAAGAAAAAAAAUUGUAGCCUGGUGGUGCAUGCCUGUAAUCUUAGCUACUCAGGAGGAUCACAAGCUAGAGGCCAGCUGGGGAAACUUACCAAGAUCUUGUCUCAAAAUCAGAAAGCAGAUGAGAGCAUUAUCUUCCUGCUUCCCCUCCUUCCCUCGUGCAGCGUUAGGGAAACUUUCCCUUGAAGGAGAGACAGUAGAUAUUUUGGAUUUGUGGGUCACAUGGUUUCAGUAGUUACAGCUUCUCAACUCCGUUUAUUCAACUCUGCUCAAAAGAAACCAUAGACACAGUCUGGAAGCAAACAGCACAUCUGUCUUCCAGUGAGACUUUUAUUUACAAAACCAGGCAGCCACUCUGUGGUCUGUAUUUGCUGACCCCUCUCCUAGAACAGCAUCCAGUGAGUGUCCUAAGUGUCCAUCCCACACCCCUAAAGCCCAGCAGGGCUGCUGAGUCCCUUGGAUGAGCGCUCUCACCAGGCCUCAGCCCUGCUGCGCUCUUCUCUCUCACACUGCUAUUCUGCUUCCAGAUCCUAUUCCACAAGGCCUGGAAGGGCAGCUAGCAGAUAAGUGAAUCUUUUUUGCCAUUGGAUUAGAUCCCCAGGUGGGAUCUAAGUAGCAUCACAGUGUCCUUGUCAGAGAGAAGCAGAGUGAGGUGUGACACAGAGGCGAAGGCAACAUGAAGGCAGAGCAGAGUGAUUUGAAGAUGCUGGCUUUGAUGUCUGGAGUGAUGAACCGCCGCAGACCCCGGAAGCCCGGUGGGGGCAAGAGUUGGCAUGAGAAUAGAAUAGCGGUUAUUAUGGAGCCAGAAACACCUGAGCUGCAGGGUUGGAGCCACCACACUUAGCCAUGUGAUCUUGGGCCAGCAACUCAACCUGUCUGAGCAGCGAUAUUCUCACCUACACAAUGACUCAGCCCUUCCCCAUCUUCCUGAGAUGUUAUGAGCAUCAGAUUUACCUUCAGCAAAAUGCCUGCCACGGUUCUCUUGUUACCAUGGGUUCUUUGUAACAAGUGGAGGAUUCCUAGUGAGGAUGUGUUCACAGAGGGGAUGUGCUGAUGUCUCUGAGUUGGAAAACAUCCAAAUGCCACCAGCAUCUGCUCAAAAAUUCAAUGCUGCCACUCCCAACCCCUCCCCAUGGUUGUGCCACCACAGAAUAUUUCUUCUGUGACAACAGCCUGAUGCACACAUGGUAAUUUUCAGGAGAGAGCUGAGCGACUAAUUUUCUCA